rnacentral:rRNA from 1 species
GCAAGUCGAACGCGAAAGCGCCUUCGGGUGUGAGUAGUGUGGCGGACGGGUGAGUAACGCGUGGGAAUCUGCCCUGCAGUGGGGGACAACCCGAGGAAACUCGGGCUAAUACCGCAUACUUCUUCCGAGAGAAAGUGGGCUUCGGCUCUCGCUGCAGGAUGAGCCCGCGUCCGAUUAGCUUGUUGGUGGGGUAAUGGCCCACCAAGGCGACGAUCGGUAGCUGGUCUGAGAGGAUGAUC